rnacentral:rRNA from 1 species
GUAGGUGGCAAGCGUUGUCCGGAAUUAUUGGGCGUAAAGCGCGCGCAGGCGGUCCUUUAAGUCUGAUGUGAAAGCCCACGGCUCAACCGUGGAGGGUCAUUGGAAACUGGGGGACUUGAGUACAGAAGAGGAAAGCGGAAUUCCAAGUGUAGCGGUGAAAUGCGUAGAGAUUUGGAGGAACACCAGUGGCGAAGGCGGCUUUCUGGUCUGUAACUGACGCUGAGGCGCGAAAGCGUGGGGAGCAAACAGGAUUGGGAUACCCUGGUAGUCCACGCCGUAAACGACGAGUGCUAAGUGUUAGGGGGUUUCCCGCCCCCCUUAGUGCUGCAGCUAACGCAUUAAGCACUCCGCCUGGGGGAGUACGGCCCGCAAGGCUG